GACGUAGGGGGCCAGCGUUGUUCGGAAUUACUGGGUGUAAAGGGUUCGUAGGCGGUGCGGCAAGUUGGGAGUGAAAUCUCUGGGCUUAACCCAGAGGCUGCUUCCAAAACUGCUGUGCUUGAGUGUGGGAGAGGCGCGUGGAAUUGCAGGUGUAGCGGUGAAAUGCGUAGAUAUCUGCAGGAACACCCGUGGCGAAAGCGGCGCGCCGGACCACUACUGACGCUGAGGAACGAAAGCUAGGGGAGCAAACAGG
rnacentral:rRNA from 1 species